rnacentral:rRNA from 1 species
AGUGAACGUUGGCGGCGUGGAUUAGGCAUGCAAGUCGAGCGAGAACCGUAGCAAUACGGGGACAGCGGCGAAAGGGACAGUAAUGUGUAGGUACCUACCUCCGGGUUCGGGAUAGCUGCGGGAAACUGCAGGUAAUACCGAAUAACGUCUCCGGACCAAAGGUGUGAUUCCACCUGGAGAGGGGCCUGCAUCCUAUUAGCUGGUUGGCGGGGUAACGGCCCACCAAGGCGACGAUGGCUAGCGGGUGUGAGAGCACGACCCGCGUCAUUGGGACUGAGACACCUCCCAGACACCUACGUGUGGCUGCAGUCGUGGAUCUUCGGCAAUGGGCGCAAGCCUGACAGCGCGACGCCGCGUGCGGGAUGAAGGCCUUCGGGUUGUAAACCGCUGUCGUAGAGGAGGAAAUGCAGGGGGGUUCUCCCCCCUGUUUGACCUAUUCUAGGAGGAAGGACGGGCUAAGUUCGUGCCAGCCGCCGCGGUAA